AAUACUCAUUUCAAUUAUUCAAGGUUGUGAGCUUGACUUUCUAUAUCCAAGCAAAGGAAUACAUCGGCAAUGGGAGAGCGGUUUUAGAAUAACAUCCAUGGCUGCAACCGGAGAUCAAGCUGCCUUCGUUCUUCGCAUUCCAAAACGAAAAAUGACAGAUGAAACUCUUCGUACAUCUGCCUUUCCGAGCACCCUUGUAAAGGAAAAAUGGGCAAAAAAUCUGUACAUUGCAGCAAUUUGUUACGGAAGAACAGUCUGCUAAUUCUGGACUGUAAAAUUAUUAAAUGCUCCUUGAAGGAAAAAAAA